AAUCAACGCUGGCGGCGUGCCUCAGACAUGCAAGUCGAACGAUUAAAGCUCUCUUCGGAGAGUGCAUAGAGUGGCGCACGGGUGAGUAACACGUAAGUAAUCUACCUUCGAGUGGGGAAUACCGUCCGGAAACGGACGCUAAUACCGCAUAAUGCAGCGGCGUCGCAAGAUGACAGUUGUUAAAGAUUUAUCGCUUGAAGAGGAGCUUGCGGCGGAUAGCUAGUUGGUAAGGUAAUGGCUUACCAAGGCUACGAUCUGUAACCGGUCUAAGGGGACGGUCGGUCACACUGACACUGAAUAACGGGUCAGACUCCUACGGGAGGCAGCAGUCGGGAAUUUGGGCAAUGGGCGAAAGCCUGACCCAGCAACGCCGCGUGAAGGAUGAAGUAUUUCGGUAU
rnacentral:rRNA from 1 species